rnacentral:rRNA from 1 species
GACGAACGCUGGCGGCGUGCUUAACACAUGCAAGUCGAACGGUAAGGCCCUUCGGGGUACACGAGUGGCGAACGGGUGAGUAACACGUGGGUGAUCUGCCCUGCACUUCGGGAUAAGCCUGGGAAACUGGGUCUAAUACCGGAUAGGACCCUGGGAUGCAUGUCCUGGGGUGGAAAGCUUUUGCGGUGUGGGAUGGGCCCGCGGCCUAUCAGCUUGUUGGUGGGGUGAUGGCCUACCAAGGCGACGACGGGUAGCCGGCCGGAGAGGGGGACCGGCCCCACUGGGACUGAGAUACGGCCCAGCAUCCUACGGGAGGCAGCAGUGGGGGAUAUUGCACAAUGGGCGCAAGCCUGAUGCAGCGACGCCGCGUGAGGGAUGACGGCCUUCGGGUUGUAAACCUCUUUCAGCACCGACGAAGCGCAAGUGACGGUAGGUGCAGAAGAAGGACCGGCCAACUACGUGCCAGCAGCCGCGGUAA